rnacentral:rRNA from 1 species
AUCCCACUGGGGAGUACGCCGGCAACGGUGAAACUCAAAGGAAUUGACGGGGGCCCGCACAAGCGGAGGAACAUGUGGUUUAAUUCGAUGAUACGCGAGGAACCUUACCCGGGCUUGAACUGCAGCAGAACGAUUCAGAGAUGAUGAGGUCUUCGGGGCUGCUGUGGAGGUGCUGCAUGGUUGUCGUCAGCUCGUGCCGUGAGGUGUCGGCUUAAGUGCCAUAACGAGCGCAACCCUUUUCGCCAGUUGCCAGCAUGUGAUGGUGGGCACUCUGGGGAUACUGCCACCGUAAGGUGUGAGGAAGGUGGGGAUGACGUCAAAUCAGCACGCCUGAACGUCGGUGGCUACACACGUGUUACAAUGGGGAGUACAGAGAGUUGGCAUACGCAAGUGCGGUCAAAUCAUGAAAGCUCUCCUCAGUUCGGAUUGGGGCUGCAACCCGCCCCCAUAAAGCUGAUUCGCUAUA